rnacentral:rRNA from 1 species
UCGACGAGAAGCUAACUUCUGAUUCCUUCGGGAUGAUGAGGUCAGCAGAAAGUGGCGAACGGGUGAGUAACGCGUGGGUAAUCUACCCUGUUUAGUGGGGGAUAACCCUCCGAAAGGAGGGCUAAUACCGCAUAAUAUCUUUAUCCCAAAAGAGGUAAAGAUUAAAGAUGGCCUCUAUACUAUGCUAUCGCUUCAGGAUGAGCCCGCGUCCUAUUAGUUAGUUGGUGGGGUAAUGGCCUACCAAGACCACAAUGGGUAGCCGGUCUGAGAGGAUGUACGGCCACACUGGGACUGAGAUACGGCCCAGACUCCUACGGGAGGCAGCAGUGGGGAAUAUUGCGCAAUGGGGGAAACCCUGACGCAGCGACGCCGCGUGGAUGAUGAAGGCCUUUGGGUUGUAAAAUCCUGUUCUGGGGGAAGAAAGCUUAUGGGUCCAAUAAACCUUUACGUUUGACGGUACCCCAAGAGAAAGCUCCGGCUAAUUAUGUGCCAGCAGCCGCGGUAAUACAUAACGAGCUGACCUCAUCCGGACUUAUUGGGCGUU